rnacentral:rRNA from 1 species
UACGUAGGGAGCGAGCGUUGUCCGGAAUUACUGGGUGUAAAGGGAGCGUAGGCGGGGAUGCAAGUUGGGUGUCAAAACUACCGGCUCAACUGGUAGUCGCACUCAAAACUGCAGCUCUGGAGUGAAGUAGAGGCAGGCGGAAUUCCUAGUGUAGCGGUGAAAUGCGUAGAUAUUAGGAGGAACACCAGUGGCGAAGGCGGCCUGCUGGGCUUUUACUGACGCUGAGGCUCGAAAGUGUGGGGAGCAAACAGG